AACGCACAUUGCGCCCGCCAGUAUUCUGGCGGGCAUGCCUGUCCGAGCGUCAUUUCAACCAUCAAGCCCCGGGCUUGUGUUGGGGACCUGCGUCCGACGCAGGCCCUGAAAACCAGUGGCGGGCUCGCUGUCCACACCGAGCGUAGUAGCUAACCUCGCUGCGGAGUGGCGCGGGCGCCUGCCGUAAAACCCCCCCACAUCGCAAGGUUGACCUCGGAUCAGGUAGGAAUACCCGCUGAACUUAA
rnacentral:misc_RNA from 1 species